GAUGAACGCUGGCGGCGUGCCUAAUACAUGCAAGUCGAGCGAACAGAUGAGGAGCUUGCUCCUCUGACGUUAGCGGCGGACGGGUGAGUAACACGUGGAUAACCUACCUAUAAGACUGGGAUAGCUUCGGGAAACCGGAGCUAAUACCGGAUAAUAUAUUGAACCGCAUGGUUCAAUAGUGAAAGACGGUUUUGCUGUCACUUAUAGAUGGAUCCGCGCCGCAUUAGCUAGUUGGUAAGGUAACGGCUUACCAAGGCGACGAUGCGUAGCCGACCUGAGAGGGUGAUCGGCCACACUGGAACUGAGACACGGUCCAGACUCCUACGGGAGGCAGCAGUAGGGAAUCUUCCGCAAUGGGCGAAAGCCUGACGGAGCAACGCCGCGUGAGUGAUGAAGGUCUUCGGAUCGUAAAACUCUGUUAUUAGGGAAGAACAAAUGUGUAAGUAACUAUGCACGUCUUGACGGUACCUAAUCAGAAAGCCACGGCUAACUACGUG
rnacentral:rRNA from 1 species